AACUACUCCUUAUUUACCUCAAUUAGAGAGUAACUUUGGAAAAAAUUUAAUACACUUAAAGUGUGGAAUAGAAUAUUUAGGUAUACAUCAAAUAGUUGGAAAAUAUUUAGGAACCCGACCUAGACAUAUUGGAAUAACUAAUGAUUAUUUUACAUACUGUCAAAGUAUAUUUAGUUUCCUUAACCUACAUGAUAAAAAUAAAGAACAUAAGAUUAAAGAAAUAUUUCAUAAAUAUUUUAGAAAUCAUACAGUAGAUUAAAAAAUAUAAAAAUUUUCAUUGAUAUUGUUUAUAAAUAUACUCUAGAAAAAUUAACUAUGGAUGAAAAAGUUGAAGAUAAAUU
rnacentral:lncRNA from 1 species